rnacentral:rRNA from 1 species
CUACGGGAUGCACCAGUGGGGAAUAUUGCACAAUGGGCGCAAGCCUGAUGCAGCAACGCCGCGUGAGGGAUGAAGGCCUUCGGGUUGUAAACCUCUUUUAGCAGGGAAGAAGCGAAAGUGACGGUACCUGCAGAAAAAGCACCGGCUAACUACGUGCCAGCAGCCGCGGUAAUACGUAGGGUGCAAGCGUUGUCCGGAAUUAUUGGGCGUAAAGAGCUCGUAGGCGGUUUGUCACGUCUGCUGUGAAAAUCCAAGGCUCAACCUUGGACUUGCAGUGGGUACGGGCAGGCUAGAGUGCGGUAGGGGAGAUGGGAAUGCCUGGUGUAGCGGUGGAAUGCGCAGAUAUCAGGAGGAACACCAAUGGCGAAGGCACAUCUCUGGGCCGUAACUGACGCUGAGGAGCGAAAGCGUGGGGAGCGAACAGGAUUAGAUACCCGGGUAGUC